UUCAAUUGUUGCAUGUUUUAUUGACCUCUUUUUAUUGACUCGUCUACUCAAACAAAUAGCAACAUUAAUAUCAACAUUUGGAUACAAAUGGAGGACCUUUUAGGAUGCGGCACGAAAGAAGGGUUUACAAAAGAAACGCGAGUCGAGGAGAGGACCCGACCACAGGUAACCACCGCCAUAGUUGGCGUUGUUUCCCGAGGUUGCAGUUGUAGCGUCGUCUCCCGGACCUCGUGUUGAAUUACUAGCAACCGUUGAUGACUCGGCACUUGUGCUGGAGAAGUGCUCGACAAUGGAGUGCUUGCACUUUGAAAUACGGACAAAAGAACGUGACAUUCAGGAAUAUGAUGUGCCGUAAAGAAAAGGGAUGGCAGGGAUUUAGUGCGCUUGUUAAUGUGCCAGUCAUCCGGAACCAGGAACAAGAAGUCAUAUGGAGUACAUUAGAAGAUAUGAAC